AUUGAACGCUGGCGGCAGGCCUAACACAUGCAAGUCGAACGAGUGGCGGACGGGUGAGUCAUGUCUGGGAAACUGCCUGAUGGAGGGGGAUAACUACUGGAAACGGUAGCUACUACCGCCUACCAUCAGCUGUGCCCAAAUGGGAUUAGCUUGUUGGUGGGGUAACGGCUCACAAAGGCGACGAUCCCUAGCUGGUCUGAGAGGAUGACCAGACACACUGGAACUGAGACACGGUCCAGACUCCUACGGGAGGCAGCAGGGGGGAUGAUUGCACAAUGGGAGCAAGCAUGAGGCAGCCAUGCCGAGUGUAUGAAGAAGGCCUUCGGGUUGUAAAGUACAUUCAGCGGGGAGGCGUUACCCGCAGAAGAAGCACCGGCUAACACCGUGCCAGCAGCCGCGAUAAUAC
rnacentral:rRNA from 1 species